rnacentral:rRNA from 1 species
CGAAUCAUUGGCAAUGUACGAAAGUAUGACCAUGCCACGCCGCGUGGACGAUGAAGGCCUUCGGGUUGUAAAGUCCUGUCAGGGGUGAGGAACCGCACGGGUUUACCCGUGCCUGACGUUAGCCCCAGAGGAAGUCACGGCUAACUCCGUGCCAGCAGCCGCGGUAAGACGGAGGUGGCGAACGCUGUUCGGAAUCACUGGGCUUAAAGGGCGUGUAGGCGGUCGAUCAAGUCGGGUGUGAAAUCCCUCGGCUCAACCGAGGAACUGCACUCGAUACUGGUUGGCUGGAGUGCGGGAGGGGUGAGUGGAACUCCAGGUGUAGCGGUGAAAUGCGUAGAUAUCUGGAGGAACGCCGGUGGCGAAAGCGACUCACUGGCCCGCAACUGACGCUGAGGCGCGAAAGCUAGGGGAGCA